UGGAGGUUGUUUUUACAAAUGUGAAGAUUAAAUCGUCGCAAAAAAAAGUCUGAGCCCAUCUGCUGACUUUACGGAAAAUGGUCGUUAUAAUCUCAGUGAGAUCGAUCGCACCAGAUCCCACCCUCUCUCUUACAUUUCAAGCGCAGAAUCUCUGCCCUUCACCUGGCUCGCUGUUCUUCCAAUGGAUCUUUCUCUCUCUUCGUUUGCUCUCUCUUCCAUUCCACCUCCAUUGAAAUCCUGCAAUCUCACUUCACUCUCCAAUUUCCCCAAUUACAGUUUCAAAUCCAGGAAUUUUUCCCUCACGCCGUUGAUUUCGCGCCAAAAUCGGCGGAUCAGAGCUCAAUAUUCAUGUAAUUCCGGCGGUGGCGGUGGAGGUGGAGGUGAUGAUGAUGGUUUUGUUGUGGAUGAAGUUCCGCACUUGACGAAUUUUCUGCCUGAUUUGCCGUCAUACCCAAACCCAUUGCAACAGAACCUAGCUUAUGCAAUAGUCAAGAAAAAUUUUGUUAGCCCAGAAGACGUGGUAGCACAAAAAAUUGUUGUUCAAAAGGGAAGUCCUAGAGGAGUUCAUUUUCGGCGAGCAGGGCCUCGAGAAAAGGUUUAUUUCAAGUCAGAGGAAGUACGUGCUUGUAUAGUGACAUGUGGAGGAUUGUGCCCUGGAAUCAACACAGUGAUUCGGGAGAUAGUAUGUGGCUUGAAUUAUAUGUAUGGUGUUCAUGAUAUACUUGGGAUUGAGGGAGGAUACAGAGGCUUUUACUCCAAAAAUACCAUUCAGUUGACACCUAAAGUUGUCAACGAUAUCCAUAAACGUGGUGGCACCUUUCUUCGUACUUCCCGAGGGGGUCAUGAUACCAACAAGAUAGUUGAUAAUAUUCAGGACCGGGGUAUAAAUCAGGUGUACAUUAUUGGAGGUGAUGGUACUCAAAAAGGAGCAGCAUUAAUUUACAAGGAAGUAGAGAAGCGUGGUCUUCAAGUGGCAGUUGCAGGAAUCCCUAAGACAAUUGACAAUGACAUUGCUGUGAUAGACAAGUCUUUUGGUUUUGAUACUGCUGUUGAGGAAGCUCAGAGAGCAAUCAAUGCUGCACAUGUGGAAGUUGAAAGUGUAGAAAAUGGAGUUGGAAUUGUAAAACUUAUGGGCCGAUAUAGCGGGUUCAUUGCCAUGUUUGCAACUUUGGCGAGCAGAGAUGUGGAUUGUUGCUUGAUUCCAGAGUCUCCAUUCUAUCUUGAAGGCCAGGGUGGGCUUUUUGAAUUUAUUGAACAGCGGCUCAAAGAAAAUGGGCACGUAGUUAUUGUGUUGGCAGAAGGAGCAGGGCAGGAAUACAUUGCUCAGAGCAUGCAUGCAGUUAGUGAGAAAGAUGCCUCAGGGAACAGGCUACUUCUAGAUGUUGGUCUUUGGCUAUCUCAAAAGAUCAAGGAUCAUUUCACAAAGGUACAGAAGAUGGCAAUAAAUAUGAAAUAUAUAGAUCCAACAUACAUGAUCCGAGCUAUUCCAAGUAAUGCAUCAGACAAUAUCUACUGCACCCUCCUUGCACAUAGUGCUGUACAUGGGGCCAUGGCAGGGUUCACUGGCUUCACGAUUGGACCUGUAAGCAGCCGACAUGCUUAUAUUCCAAUUGACCGCGUAACUGAGACUACAAAGACCAUCAAGUUGACGGAUCGUAUGUGGGCGAGACUUCUUUCAUCAACGAACCAACCUAGUUUCUUAAAAGGGAGCCCAGUGAUGCAACAAAGAGUUGAUAAAGAGACCAUUGAAAUGAUUGACAACAUGAAGAUUACCUCUAUAUAGAUUCCACAUUUGUAAGCAAUGGAAUUCCCAAAUUCAAUGGAUCAACACUUGAUCUUGUUUAUCUCCACGAUGAAAGCUUUUUGGGCUCGCAGCGGUGAAGAGGACAAAUACAUGUUUAUAUGAACUCACGCAGCAGUAGCUGUUCAUUGACCUGUUACCUGCAAUGCCUAAGGAAAUUUGAGGCCACUACAGUACCGAGUUGGUACAACAAGAAACUGCCACGCAUAAACUUUAGGUUCCAUUCUAUGUAGUCAAGUCCGGUCCUAUUACUUUAUACGCUGGUCUCAUUUUUUUUGCAUGUCUUAUUUGUUUACACAUGAUCCCUUUUAUCUGUACUUCAAUUCUAUUUAGAUUUUAUUAUAUACUUUUAUUAUAA